rnacentral:rRNA from 1 species
AUGAACGCUGGCGGCGUGCUUAACACAUGCAAGUCGCGCGUGAAAGUUUCUUCGGAAAUGAGUAAAGCGGCGAACGGGUGAGUAACACGUGAGAACCUGCCCUUUAGUGAAGAAUACCUUCAAGAAAUUGAAGUUAAUACUGCAUACGUCCCUUCGGGGAGAAAGGUGGCCUAAUUGCUACCGCUAAAGGAUGGGCUUGCGGACUAUUAGCUAGUUGGUAGGGUAAAGGCCUACCAAGGCGAUGAUGGAUAGCCGGCCUGAGAGGGUGUACGGCCUCAUUGGGACUGAGAUACGGCCCAGACUCCUACGGGAGGCAGCAGUGAGGAAUAUUGCGCAAUGGGCGAAAGCCUGACGCAGCGACGCCGCGUGGAGGAUGAAGGUUUUCGGAUUGUAAACUCCUGUUAAGUGGGAAGAAAUGCCAACUUCUAAUACAAGUUGGAGAUGACGGUACCACUAGAGAAAGCACCGGCUAACUUCGU